UGUGAUAAAAUCCAGCAGAAAUUGCAGAAAUUUCUAUGACUGUCCCAUCUGAAUUGGGCUUGAAGAAAGCUGUGGUCUUGCCACCAAACAACCCUAUUCAGAUGAAAUGGACCUAAUUUUCAGACACAGAAAUUUCUGGAACAAGUCUGCGGCAGGUUAACUUACCCCAGAAGUAAAGGGGAAUAAGAAGAAGCUUAAAUCAGAUGGUGAUUAGAGUAAUUAUUUUACUUACAUGAUGCUGACUUUAGUCUGGAUAUUAAUAUGAGAUCCGAACAAUCUCAUCAUUAUGACCAUUUAAAUGUUGCCAUUUUUUUUUUUUUUUACAGGAUAGCCCCUGGCGGCAGAAUUCUCCUGGAUCCACUUCUGGCACUUGCUUAAAAAGUGCAUAAAAAAUCCCCCCCCAGCGUUGGUGAGCAUAUUUUCCUGAUUCCCGCUGCUGGGUUCCGGCUUCAUCCUCCUCGGUGCCACUGGUCUGACGAGUACCCGUGUCAACUUCAGUUGGGAUGAGGCCAUGGUAUAGGAAAAGGAAAAAAAGGGUUUGAGUGAAUGGUGAGAGCAAGAGCACCCGGAUCCAACAGCAGAAGUGGUGUCCAUAUCUGGCUACAGUUACAUAUUAACAAGCACAAUUUUACAGGGUCGAUAUAGCAAACAAAUAAGCAAACACGGACUCACCCUCCUGGCUUGAAAAAAAAUCAUCCGUCCUUAAAUUAAUCUGACAUAUCUGAGUAGAAACAAAUAAAGUCAUAUUGAGACAUUUAUCUGUGGGAUAUGCAUAGCGCAUUGUAGUUAACAUUUAUCUCAUGAAUUGCGCGGUGAUCCCAUACAUAUAGAUUGAUUUUCUUCAGGUAGAUAAUGAAAAGUCAAGUGGAAAAUUUACACAAUGGCUCUCACGAUCUUGGGCUUCUACUGGUAUAUAAAUUGGAUUAUUAUUUGCUGAACUGGCGGAGGUUUUGAACAUGCUAUUUCAAAAAAGAAAAAUAACUUCCAGGAGGGAAACUAGAUAAAAAAUAAUCUCUACCGUGUCCUGAAAAUAAUUGUAGAACUCAUAUACAUAGGUUGAAAUGCUCAGGAUAUAAAAGUCAAUCUGGAUCCAUGGCAGGUUGGAAUGGGAAAAUUACGGAUGAAUAAAUUCUAUACAUUCAUGAUGGAACCAAUGCAAUGGAGGCCAUGGCUUGUAUGCUGCCGAGUUUAGUGGAGCGGGCAUCAUAUUCACUCUACUGUAAAUUAUGUGGAUUAUGGUGAGAAGGGGAUUAGCACAGGUUAAGUGGCAAUGGCUUUAUGCACAUACGUCAGUUGUGUCCAUCCAGUUUUUUUUUUCUAUUUUGUGAAGCCGGACACAACCGAUAAAUGU